UGGUUCUGGCAUCGAUGAAGAACGCAGCGAAAUGCGAUAAGUAAUGUGAAUUGCAGAAUUCAGUGAAUCAUCGAAUCUUUGAACGCACAUUGCGCCCCCUGGCAUUCCGGGGGGCAUGCCCGUUCGAGCGUCAUAUAACAAACCUCACGCCUGGCGUGGUGAUGGGCCCUGUGGACCAGCAGGCCUCAAACGCGGUGGCUAUCCAUUAGUAAAUGGGGAGUCCUGUAGCAUGGUGCCGCAAAUAUCGAGAAAUAUAUGCAGCGCGUAGUUUGUACACCCCUGCCAUUUCAACGCAGACAUACACAAGUUUGACCUCGGAUCGGGUAGGAAUACCCGCUGA
rnacentral:misc_RNA from 1 species